AGUUUGAUCAUGGCUCAGAAUCAACGCUGGCGGCGUGCCUCAGACAUGCAAGUCGAACGAUUAAAGCUCUCUUCGGAGAGUGUAUAGAGUGGCGCACGGGUGAGUAACACGUAAGUAAUCUACCCUCGAGUGGGGAAUAACAACCGGAAACGGUUGCUAAUACCGCAUAAUGCAGCGGCACCGCAAGGUGACAGUUGUUAAAGAUUUAUCGCUUGAGGAGGAGCUUGCGGCAGAUUAGCUAGUUGGUAGGGUAACGGCUUACCAAGGCUACGAUCUGUAACCGGUCUAAGAGGACGGUCGGUCACACUGACACUGAAUAACGGGUCAGACUCCUACGGGAGGCAGCAGUCGGAAUUUUGGGCAAUGGGCGAAAGCCCGACCCAGCAACGCCGCGUGAAGGAUGAAGUAUUUCGGUAUGUAAACUUCGAAAGAAUAGGAAGAAUUAAUGACGGUACUAUUUAUAAGGUCCGGCUAACUACGUG
rnacentral:rRNA from 1 species